ACGGAGGGUGCGAACGUUGCUCGGAAUUAUUGGGCGUAAAGCGCGCGUAGGCGGCGGCAUAAGCGGAAUGUGAAAGCCCAGGGCUCAACCCUGGAAGUGCAUCCCGAACUGUGUCGCUUGAAUCUCGGAGGGGGACAGAGAAUUCCCGGUGUAGAGGUGAAAUUCGUGGAUAUCGGGAGGAAUACCAGUGGCGAAGGCGCUGUCCUGGACGAAGAUUGACGCUGAGGUGCGAAAGCGUGGGGAGCAAACAGG
rnacentral:rRNA from 1 species